rnacentral:rRNA from 1 species
GCCUACGGGGGGGCAGCAGUGAGGAAUAUUGGUCAAUGGGCGGGAGCCUGAACCAGCCAAGUCGCGUGAGGGAAGACGGUCCUAUGGAUUGUAAACCUCUUUAGGCGGGGAGCAAUGCCGGGCACGCGUGCCCGGAGGGAGAGUACCCGCAGAAAAAGCAUCGGCUAACCCCGUGCCAGCAGCCGCGGUAAUACGGAGGAUGCGAGCGUUAUCCGGAUUUAUUGGGUUUAAAGGGUGCGUAGGCGGGCUUUUAAGUCAGCGGUAAAAAUUCGGG